AGCCAGGCUGGGUUCCUUCCGGAGUCUCAACGUGCUCCACGUGGCGCCGUCACAGGCCCGUGGCCCGGGGAGUCCCCACGGGGAGCCCUGUCGGCGGUGCUGGGCGGCGGCGGGACCCCACUUUGGGAGGAAUGCAGGGAGGCGGGGCCCCUGGUUCUCAAGUGCACGGAGACCCCGGGGUGCCCACCCGCCUGCCUCUCCGCGGCCCCCAGUGCAGACGCGCCCCCCACACGACCCAGCGCCUCCUACGUGUCUGCCGCGCAGCCACCCCACUCACGGCCUGACGUGCCCCGGGCGACCCAAGGGCCCCAGCACCUGGCCACACGCACAGGAGCCCUGCCGCCUGGCUCUGUCCCUCCGCGUGGCCACACCCUCAACCCUGCUGGGACCAGUGUGGCCUUGGCUGUGGCCCCCGGGCACCCCCACCCCGCAGGACGGGCCCCGAGGUUCCUGUAGCCCCGUACGCACAGGCCGCACCAGAGACCCCGGCCCAGGCUGGAGAUCCCCGGGCCAGGGAAGUGGGGGUGCAGCCCCAUCCCCCCCGGGACACUCAGAGACCCUGCAGGAGGCCUUGGUCACGCCCACCGGAAGCCACAGCGCCCAGGAACGCCAGCGUCGGAAAUGCCGCCCUCCAGAAUGCGGCUGGAAGACGGCCGGCUGAAGUCCCGUUUCCCCAGAAUCCAGAGGGUUCCACGGGGAGAGGCCGUGGGGAGAGGCCUAGGGGGGAGAGGCCUGGGGGGGCGUGAGGCCUAAGGGGAAAGGCCGGGGGGAGAGGCCACGGGGAGAGGCCGAGGGGAGAGAGGCUGCAGGGAGAGCCAAGCAGACCCCCUCCCCAGGCCGUCCCCCCAACUGCCCUCCAGCCACAGCUGGGAAGCCUCUCUCCUCCCCAGGUGCUCCGGGGGGUGGGCACCUGCCCUCCUCUCCUCUCCCCUCCGAGGGGUCCGCCCAGCAGCCCCGGGGUGCUGGAUGCACAGUCAGAGCUGGGCCUGGGACUGCACCCUGGCUCUGUGCCUCCCCUGAACAGGUGUCCCCAUCUGGGGGACAGGGUGCCCCAGCCCCACACCCCCGGGACCCAGGGCCGGGCUGCCAGGGUC
rnacentral:lncRNA from 12 species